GAGAAAUUGCUCAAAAAAGGUCACCAGUUUCUUGGUAUUACAGUUGUCUGAAACUGAUGCCAAUUAAGAAAAGAUUGUUCCCCUACCAGAGUGGGCAAGAAAAACAACCAGCAAAGUGGUCUGCUUAGUAACACGCAGUCUUCCUAAGGUUCAUUAAGAAAGAAUAUAAACAUAUAAAAAUCAAGAAUCGGUUUCUAUAGCGGCUGCAUAUCAUAUAGAUUAGAUAAAUGACUUAUGAGCAGAAUCACAAGGUUUAGAAAAUAAAAAGUCUUAAGUCUACAAAUUAGGUCUAAUCGAGGCCGUGACAGCCUUUACAAAACCCCUUUAGGAGACAUUGCUAUGAAGAUAUCUAAUUUUAAUACUGAAGUACCUCAUUUGGGAGUCAAUUCCACAGUAUGUAUACCUCACAAAAAUUAUACAAUUAAAACACUUAAGUUCUCAACUUAAAUUAUUGCUUGUUUACAUAUAAAUUGGAUUUUAUGUACCUUACAAAACUUCGGCUUAGUCAGCACUGCUAAAAAACAAACAAAAUAAAAAACACAUGGUGGAGGUGAAAUCUGUCGUGAUGUCUGCUGUCAAUUUUAAGCACACUCUUAUUUUCUCCUGUUUGGUGGACCAGUGUUGCUGGGGAAGAGAAUGAAUAUGCUUUCAAAGCAGGUGUCCAAAGUCUGUUGGGUAUCAAGUCCUAACUUUGCUCCUCUCCUUGCCAGUAAAUGCCUUUUUCUGAAAUUUGAGAGUUAGUUAGCAAUUGGUAAGUGCCUGGCAAAACACGUAAGGAAAUAAUAAAGGGCUUACCUGGUUUCUGUUGCUUUUAUUUAAAAAAAAAAAAAAAAAAAAAAAAGACAUGAGAGUGGGGAGAACGGGGGAAGGCAGAGGGGAAGGGAAGAGGCGGGGCCAGAUUCAAGAGGAGGUGCUGAUUCAGGCUGUCUGAUCGACCUAAGCGAAUCUGGAAAUGAAAACUAUUUCUUCUUGAGUCAUGAUUUGGGUGAACUAGUUUGGUUUGAAUCAGG
rnacentral:lncRNA from 1 species